rnacentral:rRNA from 1 species
GAUGAACGCUGGCGGCGUGCUUAACACAUGCAAGUCGAACGGGAAACCUUUUAUUGAAGCUUCGGCAGAUUUAGAUUGUUUCUAGUGGCGGACGGGUGAGUAACGCGUGGGUAACCUGCCUUAUACAGGGGGAUAACAGUCAGAAAUGACUGCUAAUACCGCAUAAGCGCACAGAGCUGCAUGGCUCGGUGUGAAAAACUCCGGUGGUAUAAGAUGGACCCGCGUCUGAUUAGCUGGUUGGUGGGGUAACGGCCCACCAAGGCGACGAUCAGUAGCCGGCCUGAGAGGGUGAACGGCCACAUUGGGACUGAGACACGGCCCAG